CUUGACGACCAUAGAGCAUUGGAACCACCUGAUCCCAUCCCGAACUCAGCAGUGAAAC
rnacentral:rRNA from 3 species